UACGUAGGGUGCAGGCGUUAUUCGGAAUUACUGGGCGUAAAGCGUGCGCAGGCGGUUUGUUAAGUCAGAUGUGAAAUCCCCGGGCUUAACCUGGGAACUGCGUUUGAAACUGGGAGACUUGAGUGUGGCAGAGGGGGGUGGAAUUCCACGUGUAGCAGUGAAAUGCGUAGAUAUGUGGAGGAACACCAAUGGCGAAGGCAGCCCCCUGGGUCAACACUGACGCUCAUGCACGAAAGCGUGGGGAGCAAACAGG
rnacentral:rRNA from 1 species